ensembl:lincRNA
GCAAAUUUCAAAGUAAACUUGAAAUGUUGUGAACUUUGGGGAGUGAUAACCAGUAUGAUCUGGCCUCCUAUUCUCAAUCCUCUUUCCUUCCAGCCCAGACUAGGUGUUUCUAGAUUAUUGCCUUCUGGACUUUGAUUUUUUUUUUUUUUCUAACAUUGGCAGUUUUUCUCAUCCUAUUGCAGGGCAAUUUCAUGACUUUUGACCAAUAUAUCCAAGAUAGCAGGCCAUUCAUCUUCAUGAGCUUCUUAAUCUUAACCCAGAGGAUGAAACAUAAUUGUAUUAAGAGUGAAAAUGUUGACACAAUUUUAACAACGGAAGAAGUGGCACUUGACCAGAAACUUUGUCACCAUCUCUAUGUUGAUGGAUAUUAAAAGUGUGGUCAAGUUUAUCUCCAGCAAUAGACAGUCUGUGAUGGCUUUUCAAUUCUGCUGGCAGAUGAUAACAAAUGGAUAAAUCAUGCAAAGGAAAUGAUAAAAAGGAAGAAAAAAAGAAAAGAAAAAGCACUACAGAGUCCUGUCAUUUCCAGGCAGACAAUCUUAGUGGGAAGACUUUGAAUUAAAGCAAAUUUUCCUCUCUAAACCUACAGCAGUGAGAUAAACAGAUCCUCUAGAUAUUCUGAGAUGAUUCAAAUAAGUUAUUCAGACAUGGAGUCUAGAGAAGGCUUGCACUGGUUGCUGCUCUCGUUGGACACUGCUGUUGUUAGCCCAAGAGGUAACAAUCAAUGGGAGGGAGGUUUUAAUAUGAAGUGGAUCAAUGUUUUUCAGCCAGAAUAUUAGAUCUACCACCAACAAGAAACAGAAAGUUCAUCACUGAAGACCUUGACCCCACAGGGGGAGGGAUGGAACUCUUGGAUUUAACAGGUGGCCUCAUAUAUGUGUUCAGGUGGGAAGCAUUCAAAGUCCAUGUUCAAAGAAGAGACAUCGACAUUUCUCAAAGUCAGUGUUGAAAGAAGUCUUCAUGAGGGAGCCCAAGCCAGUCAUAGAGGAAUCAGCGUUCAUUGAGCUGAACCCUUGGCCUGACUAGUAGCCUGAACUCAGAAAGCAGAGAUCUUUUCAAGGUCAGAGUCAUACAUGGAAAAUGGGGAAGCUAAGAUCCUUGCACUUAUCCACAUCCCAAAUUUUGAUGGCACAGUUAGAAACAGAAGAAAAUCAUAUUCAGGAUUAGGUCCUAGAAUUUUGCCUUUGGAUAUUCACUAGCUUAGAAAAGAGGUUUUAAUUUUCUUGAUCAAGAAAAAUGGAAAGACUGAUUAAACACAACCAUGGUUGUCCUACUGCUUGAAGGGAGAAAUACUGAGGGUGCUUAAAAUACAACUCUUCUGCAAUGAAUAUUGGUGACAAAGGUACCUUUUGCUGUAAAAUGCCUGUGAUUGUUUAUGAAAUUUUACUGUAGCUGUAAUGAGGUGGAGGCUUUCCAUAAUUUCCUGUCUUCACUUGAUCUUAGCCAAAAGGCUGAGAAGCGAUUUUCCUGUCUUAAUAUACAGAAAUAAGAACUCUUAGAUUAAGGGUUGUCUGUAAAAUCAUCUUUUAUUCCCAAGCAAGAUACAUUUUCUGGUGCAAGAGCUCAUUUCUUCACUAUUGCAGUGUUCUGUUCAUUCAGCUGAUAUCCAGGCCAUGUACUAUCUAGCAGGUGUGACGGUUUUCACGUACUUGAACACCACUCUUGCCUAAUUGUCAUGCUGUGACUGGACAUUUAAUAGCAUUUACACAGGGAUAAAAUGUAAAUAUGGCAGCAAUUUAUAAACGAUGCCAUUUCUCCUUAGGAUAAAGGAUUUUAGAGCUAUAAUAACAUCAAUUAUUUCUAUAAAAACCCAGAGCAUAAAAGGCUGUCUUCCAGCAAUAUGACUUGAAGAGAGAGAUUUAUUUAUAGACUACCAGGGCUCAUCCCCUGGCUGGAUGAUUCAUCUUUUCACAAAGAAAUUCCAGGAGGGUCGACCUGAUCUCUAGCCCUUUCAUAUCCACAAUGGGAGGAGUUAUUUAAUUUCAUGCUUGCUUGGUAAAUGUCUCUCGACCAUGUAUAGCUUUUCUAAACUACAAUCUCCAAAGACUUCCCGUGCCUGCAGUGCAG